rnacentral:lncRNA from 1 species
UGGGCCCAGCUCGGACUGGUCCGCCGGGCCCAAGGGCUCUGGUGCCUUCUGGAAAGCGCUGGCUGGGACUUCACCCUCCUCCUGCAUGUGACGGACACAGCACUGAUCCUGGCAGCUCCUUACCCCCAGCAGCCCGAAACUCACUCCUUAAUUACACAAGGGAAACCUUUUACCUCCGCAGCCAGAGUCUGGGGGGAAAGGCAGGCGUGGGAAGAUGGGUUCUCUACCUGGCCAGUGCCAUGUUGCCUGUUUCUUUACUGUAACUGUGGUGACAAAGAAAAGGGAAGAUGGAGCCUCCAUGUUGAACAUACCUGGCCCCCAGCACUAACUCCCUCUCUGGAUAUCUGGAACAAGGAGGACCUUAAACUUAACAAUAAAGCCAAUGAUGGUUCUACCAGUCUCCCCAAAGCCUCAAGUUUAAAAGCCAUAUGAACUGGCUGAUAGUGGAAAAUGGAAGCCAUGAGGAAAUCAGAUUAGAGUACUACCUGGUGAAGCCUGGAGGACCUACCAAGAAAAGCAAACUUGGAUCUUUGCAAGGUUAGAAGAACGAAUGGGAUCCAAGAAAAAGACUGGUCAUAUUCAACGGCUAAGAGCGUUGGAGAAGGCCUGUGGAGUCUCAGCAGGUCAGGUCCAUGACUCAUGAGUAGACACCUGUGUUUCUACUGCCUGGUGCCAUAAUCAUAAACAAGGAAGAAACUGAGGACAGGAGGGGCCAAACAAGUUACAGUUUCAUCCCUCCAGAGAGCCAACAGAGUAUUUUGCACGAAGUUGAAGCUAAACAGGUAUUAUGUCCUAUCUCUGGACUGAAUGACUAGAUGCUACUCAGCUUCUGAACUAGAGGAAGCCUGGGACCUUGACCGCACUAAUGCUGAUGACAGCGGAUUUGCAAGUGGCUAGAGAGUAAUCAGCAAAUGCCUUUCCUUUCUCCUGCUGAUGUUUUGCCCGUACUCAGACCCCUUGACUUCUUAGCUUCUACCCAAAGUGAGCUUGUCAUCAAAGUUCUCCAAAAAUCUGCAGUGUUCUCUUGAGCAAAUCUGCUUCCAAGACUAUAGCGCUCUGAUGCAUUGAGAUGACAGCAAGCGGCAUUUUUCAGUCCUGUUACCCAUAUGGCUGCUACCACUGCAUCCUGUUAAAUAAUGUCUUCAACCCAAGAAACCUGCUUCCUAGGGAAGUUUCUCUCUCUCUGCAUUUGUUCCCACUAGAGAAUGACCAUCACCAGAUUCCUGAACUGAAAAUGCUGUUGACACUUUGGAAACUCGGGCCUCUAUUAAUAGGGUGACCAACUAUCCUGGUUUACCUUGAGUACAGGAUUUUCAAUGCUAAAACCAGAAAAACCAGGAUGGUUGGUCAUCUGCCUCAGACCUAAUAAAUACCAGUCAAUAAUUCAGCCAUGAGCUUUCUUAAGACACUGUCUUUUCUUGACUGUUGAAUAGUCUAGGACUUGAGUAGCAGCUCUUUCUGCUACUGGACACUUGUUUUACUACCCUAUUUCUCUAGAUUUUAUUUUGUGGCUAAUAAUUAAGACAUAAAAUCAUGGGUUCUGGUUAUGCCAAAGCACUCACUCUUCAAAAGUUUCCAUCCAGAGUUGGAUAAUCCCACACAGAAGGUGUUCUUUCAACAGACCAGCAUCCAAUAGACCCAAUGCAGCAUUUUUCUUCCUGGUUCCACAUUAAUACAUCCUAUCUCUGCUAUGCUUAGGUCCCUGAUUUAUAAAUAUUUCAGACAUAUUUUCUCAGGACACAGGGAGUACUUAAACUUCCACAUAGCAGAGAUACGACAUACAAUAAGCUGUUAUCUGGAAACUCCUAGUGAUGCUUUGAGUACUUUACAGUAAUCUUUCUGGUCUUCCUCUCAACCCCAUUAAGUUUUUCUGUAACUAGCUGGUGUAUCUGUCUCCAUCUUUAAGGAAUAAGUCCCUAUUUGCUCAUGCUAUAAUCUCCCUCAUGCUCUCCGUCCCUCCUUCCCUCUCCUUCUCUCUUUCUGUCUCUCUCUCUCUCCACCCUGAUUGUGAGAUGCUACACCUUAAUAGUUUUCUAUACCUAGAUCCCUUUUGAAGGAGUAAUUUCAGCCAUCACUGAAAUCUAUGCUUUUUUAUCUUGUUAGAUUUAUUUAGGACCUAAUGACUGUUUCUGAGCUAAUAAUAACGCAAUCAGCUCAUAUUUUUCUGAUACUCUAAGAGCAAUUACAUCUAGUUGCAUCACCUUUUCCUUUUUUAUUCAUGUAUCUUAGGCUUCUCAAGAUAUGAGACUAGCACUUGAGCCUGAGAUAAGCCUUAAGAAUUCCAGGAUAGUCUCUCCAUAGUUCCCUUUCUUGGAUAAAGUCAUUUCAAAACAUCUUAGUGGAUCAGAUUUGGAGCAGCCUACUUACACUGGUGAAUACCACAACUAAUAAAUAAUUGUUCUGCACCCCACCCACAUCUAAAGGAUUCAGGGUGUCUUUUACAGAUAUAGGACUCUCCUUUCUCUGUUUCUCUUCUCUCUCUUCUCCUUGAUUAAAGCUUUGCUUCAGCUGUCCCUGCUCACUACGGCACUGCACCUCACCAGCAUCUUCAUGGCCCUCACAUGGCUCAUGUGCAUAUCCUAACUCUGAUACUAAGGGAGGAGACCACCCCUCAUAUUGUCUUAUGCCCAAUUUCUGCCUCCAAAGAAAGAAGAAGUAAAAACUAAAAGGCAGAAAUGAAAUCCACAAGCAGACAGCCCGGCGCCACACCCUGGGCCUGGUAGUUAAAGAUCGACCCCUGACCUAAUCGGUUAUUUGCAUAAGAAAAGCACUGUGAAGAUCCCUGUCCUGUUCUGUUCCAUUCUAAUUACCGGUGUAUGCAGCCCCCAGUCAUGUACCCCUGCUUGCUCAAUCGAUCACGACCCUCUCACGUGGACCCCCUUAGAGUUGUGGGCCCUUAAAAGGGACAGGAAUUGCUCACUCGGGGAGCUUGGUUGUUGGAGAUGUGAGUCUUGCUAAAGCUCCCAGCCGAAUAAAGCCCUUCCUUCUUAA